rnacentral:rRNA from 1 species
AUUGAACGCUGGCGGCAGGCCUAACACAUGCAAGUCGAGCGGCAGCGGGAAAGUAGCUUGCUACUUUUGCCGGCGAGCGGCGGACGGGUGAGUAAUGCCUGGGAAAUUGCCCAGUCGAGGGGGAUAACAGUUGGAAACGACUGCUAAUACCGCAUACGCCCUACGGGGGAAAGCAGGGGACCUUCGGCCUUGCGCGAUUGGAUAUGCCCAGGUGGGAUUAGCUAGUUGGUGAGGUAAUGGCUCACCAAGGCGACGAUCCCUAGCUGGUCUGAGAGGAAGAUCAGCCACACUGGAACUGAGGCGCGGUCCAGACUCCUACGGGAGGCAGCAGUGGGGAAUAUUGCACAAUGGGGGAAACCCUGAUGCAGCCAUGCCGCGUGUGUGAAGAAGGCCUUCGGGUUGUAAAGCACCUUCAGCGAGGAGGAAAGGUUGAUGCCUAAUACGUAUCAACUGUGACGUUACUCGCAGAAGAAGCACCGGCUAACUCCGUGCCAGCAGCCGCCGUAA